UACGAGUGCCCCGAGCGUUAUCCGGAAUCAUUGGGCGUAAAGGGCGCGUAGGCGGCUUGAUAAGCGUGCGGUGAAAGCCCGGGGCUCAACCCCGGGUCGGCCGUGCGAACUGUCGAGCUGGAGCACUGUAGAGGCAGGUGGAAUUCCGGGUGUAGCGGUGGAAUGCGUAGAGAUCCGGAAGAACACCGGUGGCGAAGGCGGCCUGCUGGGCAGUGGCUGACGCUGAGGCGCGACAGCGUGGGGAGCAAACAGG
rnacentral:rRNA from 1 species